AUGGAUCAGUAUGAGGUGUUGGAUCAGACUUGGAAGGGCUCUUUGGCUCUACACUCCAGGUAUGUCUCCAAGGUUGCAAGGGAUAUGACAUUGCCUUUGUUGUGCUCGGGAAUAAGUGGUCAUGAAAAAUACAGCUCCGCAACUCUGCAACCAAAAAAGCUCUCUGAACUUGCCGCUGAUUCAUCUAACUGCUCCUGCUGCUCUUGGCUGCCUUCGGAUGAAGGUACUGCUUCGGUGCUAGAUUGGAUGGAUAAGCAAGAAAGCAAACCGAAUGGGAAAAGAUUGGGAGCAUAUGCAUUGGUUUGGAAACUAAAAAAAGGAGAAGAUAAGAGUAUGUGGUGGACAAAGGUCACCCGUUUAUCAACAACUAGAUGCCGGCUUCGUUUUUUAAAGCAAGACUUCCAAAAUAUUAUUUUGUGA
rnacentral:rRNA from 1 species